GAUGAACGCUAGCGGCGUGCCUAAUACAUGCAAGUCGAACGAACGGAUUGAGGAGCUUGCUCUUCAUGAAGUUAGUGGCGGACGGGUGAGUAACACGUGGGUAACCUGCCCUUCAGUGGGGGAUAACAUCCGGAAACGGGUGCUAAUACCGCAUAGUUUCUUUUUCCGCCUGGAAGAAGAAGGAAAGAUGGCCUUUGCGCUAUCACUGAGGGAUGGACCCGCGGCGUAUUAGUUAGUUGGUGGGGUAAUGGCCUACCAAGACGAUGAUACGUAGCCGACCUGAGAGGGUGAUCGGCCACAUUGGGACUGAGACACGGCCCAA
rnacentral:rRNA from 1 species